ACGGCUCAGUAACACGUGGCUAACCUGCCCUUAGGUUAGGGACACCCUCGGGAAACUGAGGUUAAUACCUAAUAGGAGAUUUACCCUGGAACGAUUUAUCUCUUAAAUUCGUGCCUAAGGAUGGGGCUGCGGCGGAUUAGGUUGUUGGCGGGGUAACUGCCCACCAAGCCGAAGAUCCGUAAGGGCUCUUAGCGGAGGGGCCCUGAGAGGGAAUCUGAGACACUAUUCCCAGCCCUACGGGGUGCAGCAGUUAGGAAUAUUCUGCAAUGCGCGAAAGCGUGACAGAUUGAGCCAGAGUGCUUUUCAAAAUUGAAAAGCUUUUGCCAAAUACAAAAAGUUUGGCGAAUAAGGACUGGGUAAGACGGGUGCCAGCCGCCGCGGUAAUACCCGCGGUCCAAGUCGCAGCCAUUAUUAUUGAGUCUAAAACAUCCGUAGCUUGCUUAGUAAGUUUCCUGUGAAAUUCCAUCUCUCAAGGGUGGAGCGGGCAGGGAGUACUGCUAGGCUAGAGACCGGAAGACGUGAAAAGUACGUCCAAAGUAGCGGUAAAAUGUGUUAAUCUUGGGCGGACUAACAACAGCGAAGGCAUUUCACGAGGACGGUUCUGACAGUAAGGGAUGAAGGCUAGGGGCGCAAAACAGAUUAGAUACCUGUGUAGUCCUAGCAGUAAACACUGUACACUAUACAUUAGUACCUCCUCGAGAGGUAUUAGUGCUGAAGCGAAAGCGAAGAGUGUACUACUUGGGAAGUAUAGUCGCAAGACCGAAACUUAAAGGAAUUGGCGGGGGAG
rnacentral:rRNA from 1 species